rnacentral:sRNA from 1 species
GAACAGUUCACUGGGAAUUGCGCUCUGGACGCUAACAAGCAGAAAGAUGCACCAAAUGGAAGGCCCCGCAUGCGGGGCCUUCGUCAUUUCUUCGG